rnacentral:rRNA from 1 species
AUUGAACGCUGGCGGAAUGCUUUACACAUGCAAGUCGAACGGCAGCACGGACUUCGGUCUGGUGGCGAGUGGCGAACGGGUGAGUAAUACAUCGGAACGAGCCCAAUCGUGGGGGAUAACGUAGCGAAAGCUACGCUAAUACCGCAUACGAUCUAAGGAUGAAAGCGGGGGAUCGCAAGACCUCGCGCGAUUGGAGCGGCCGAUGGCAGAUUAGGUAGUUGGUAGGGGAAAGGCCUACCAAGCCGACGAUCUGUAGCUGGUCGGAGAGGAUGAGCAGCCACACUGGGACUGAGACACGGCCCAGACUCCUACGGGAGGAAGCAGUGGGGAAUUUUGGACAAUGGACGCAAGUCUGAUCCAGCCAUUCCGCGUGCAGGAUGAAGGCCCUCGGGUUGUAAACUGCUUUUGUACAGAACGAAAAGGCUCUGGUUAAUACCUAGGGCUCAUGACGGUACUGUAAGAAUAAGCACCGGCUAACUACGUGCCAGCAGCCGCCGCGG